rnacentral:misc_RNA from 1 species
GAAAUGCGAUACUUGGUGUGAAUUGCAGAAUCCCGCGAAUCAUCGAGUUUUUGAACGCACGUUGCGCCCGAAGCCAUUCGGCCGAGGGCACGUCUGCCUGGGUGUCACGCAUCGUUGCCCCCCCAAACUCCGGUUCGGGCGGGGCGGAAGUUGGCCUCCCGUGCGUGCCUGCGCGCGCGGUUAGCCCAAAAGCGAGUCCUCGGCGACGAGCGCCACGACAAUCGGUGGUUUUUUUACCCUCGUUCCUCGUCGUGCGUGUCCCGUCGCCCGAACGCGCUCUUGUGACCCUCACGCGUCGCCUCGGCGGCGCUCCCAACGCGACCCCAGGUCAGGCGGGACUACCCGCUGAGUUUAAGC